GACGAACUUUGGCGGCGUGCUUAACACAUGCAAGUCGAACGGAAAGGCCCUGCUUUUGUGGGGUGCUCGAGUGGCGAACGGGUGAGUAACACGUGAGUAACCUGCCCUUGACUUUGGGAUAACUUCAGGAAACUGGGGCUAAUACCGGAUAGGAGCUCCUGCUGCAUGGUGGGGGUUGGAAAGUUUCGGCGGUUGGGGAUGGACUCGCGGCUUAUCAGCUUGUUGGUGGGGUAGUGGCUUACCAAGGCUUUGACGGGUAGCCGGCCUGAGAGGGUGACCGGCCACAUUGGGACUGAGAUACGGCCCAGACUCCUACGGGAGGCAGCAGUGGGGAAUAUUGCACAAUGGGCGGAAGCCUGAUGCAGCAACGCCGCGUGCGGGAUGACGGCCUUCGGGUUGUAAACCGCUUUCGCCUGUGACGAAGCGUGAGUGACGGUAAUGGGUAAAGAAGCACCGGCUAACUACGUGCCAGCAGCCGCGGUGAUACGUAGGGUGCGAGCGUUGUCCGGAUUUAUUGGGCGUAAAGGGCUCGUAGGUGGUUGAUCGCGUCGGAAGUGUAAUCUUGGGGCUUAACCCUGAGCGUGCUUUCGAUACGGGUUGACUUGAGGAAGGUAGGGGAGAAUGGAAUUCCUGGUGGAGCGGUGGAAUGCGCAGAUAUCGGGAGGAACACCAGUGGCGAAGGCGGUUCUCUGGGCCUUUCCUGACGCUGAGGAGCGAAAGCGUGGGGAGCGAACAGGCUUAGAUACCCUGGUAGUCCACGCUGUAAACGGUGGGUACUAGGUGUGGGGUCCAUUCCACGGGUUCCGUGCCGUAGCUAACGUUUUAAGUACCCCGCCUGGGGAGUACGGCCGCAAGGCUAAAACUCAAAGGAAUUGACGGGGCCCCGCACAAGCGGCGGAGCAUGCGGAUUAAUUCGAUGCAACGCGUAGAACCUUACCUGGGUUUGACAUGGAUCGGGAGUGCUCAGAGAUGGGUGUGCCUCUUUUGGGGUCGGUUCACAGGUGGUGCAUGCCUGUCGUCAGCUCGUGUCGUGAGAUGUUGGGUUAAGUCCCGCAACGAGCGCAACCCUUGUUCACUGUUGCCAGCACGUUAUGGUGGGGACUCAGUGGAGACCGCCGGGGUCAACUCGGAGGAAGGUGGGGAUGACGUCAAGUCAUCAUGCCCCUUAUGUCCAGGGCUUCACGCAUGCUACAAUGGCUGGUACAGAGAGUGGCGAGCCUGUGAGGGUGAGCGAAUCUCGGAAAGCCGGUCUCAGUUCGGAUUGGGGUCUGCAACUCGACCUCAUGAAGUCGGAGUCGCUAGUAAUCGCAGAUCAGCAACGCUGCGGUGAAUACGUUCCCGGGGCU
rnacentral:rRNA from 1 species